GGGGGGGGGUGGGGGGACCGCGCGGCGUCGACGCCAAGCUCCCCUUUUUCCUCGUGGAUUCCCCAAUCAUCCAAUCAUCUCGACUGAGCAGGUGCUCUCAAGGGAGCCCCAGAGGGAAGCGUGGAAGUAGAUGGUGACAGAGGCCGUGUGGCGGUGGGGGCGCCGGACCACCGCGACCAGCCGUGCCACGCCAUUGGCUGCCUGCCACGCUGGCACCCAGGCCCUCCUCCUGAGGGAAACACUCAACACCCUCAACCUCUGCAGGACAGGAAGGGCUAAGUGUUUCCCCCUCGAAUCCAUCCGCUUCCUUUUUUCAAAUGAAUUCUAAUAAUAAAUUAGAAUCAUAAUGAUAAA